UGGGGAAUCUUCCGCAAUGGACGAAAGUCUGACGGAGCAACGCCGCGUGAGUGAUGACGGCCUUCGGGUUGUAAAGCUCUGUUAAUCGGGACGAAUGGUUCUUGUGUGAAUAGUGCGAGGAUUUGACGGUACCGGAAUAGAAAGCCACGGCUAACUACGUGCCAGCAGCCGCGGUAAUACGUAGGUGGCAAGCGUUGUCCGGAAUUAUUGGGCGUAAAGCGCGCGCAGGCGGAUUGGUCAGUCUGUCUUAAAAGUUCGGGGCUUAACCCCGUGAUGGGAUGGAAACUGCCAAUCUAGAGUAUCGGAGAGGAAAGUGGAAUUCCUAGUGUAGCGGUGAAAUGCGUAGAUAUUAGGAAGAACACCAGUGGCGAAGGCGACUUUCUGGACGAAAACUGACGCUGAGGCGCGAAAGCCAGGGGAGCGAACGGGAUUAGAUACCCCGGUAGUCCUGGCCGUAAACGAUGGGUACUAGGUGUAGGAGGUAUCGACCCCUUCUGUGCCGGAGUUAACGCAAUAAGUACCCCGCCUGGGGAGUACGACCGCAAGGUUG
rnacentral:rRNA from 1 species